rnacentral:rRNA from 1 species
UACAGAGGGUGCGAGCGUUAAUCGGAAUUACUGGGCGUAAAGCGUGCGUAGACGGUCAAGUAAGUCGGGUGUGAAAAUCCCCGGGCUCAACCUGGGAAUGGCAGUGGAUACUGGCAAGCUAGAGUGCGGUAGAGGGUAGUGGAAUUCCCGGUGUAGCAGUGAAAUGCGUAGAGAUCGGGAGGAACACCAGUGGCGAAAGGCGGCUACCUGGACCAGCACUGACCACUGGAAAGCACGAAAGCGUGGGGGAAGCAAAACAGGUUGAGAUACCCAGUUAGCCAGAACCAUGCCUCUGGCUA